rnacentral:tRNA from 1 species
GAGGUUAUAGCUCAGUGGUAGAGCGCAUGCCUAGCAUGCAUGAGGUCCUGGGUUCAAUCCCCGCUUCCAUUA